rnacentral:rRNA from 1 species
AUUGAACGCUAGCGGCAUGCCUUACACAUGCAAGUCGAACGGAGUGGCGAACGGGGGAGUAUUGUAUCGGUACGGGCCCAGUAGCGGGGGAUAACUCUGCGUAAGCGAAGCUGAUACUGCUUACUAUUGGAGCGGCAGAUAUCGGAUUAGCUUGUUGGUGGGGUAACGGCUCACCAAGGCGACGAUCCGCAGCUGGUUUGAGAGGAGGACCAGCAAAACUGGAACUGAGAGACGGCCCAGACUCCUACGUGAGGCAGCAGUGGGGAAUAUUGGACAAUGGGGGAAAGCCUGAUGCAGCCAUGCCGCGUGUGCGAAGAAGGCCUUCGGGUUGUAAAGCACUUUUGGCAGGACAGCGGUACCGGCAGAAUAAGCACCGGCUAACUACGUGCCAGCCGCCGCGGUAGUAC